rnacentral:rRNA from 1 species
AACGAACGCUGGCGGCAUGCCUAACACAUGCAAGUCGAACGAGACCAUCGGGUAUCUUGGUGCACGGGUGCGUAACGCGGGGGAAGCUGCUCUUAGGUUCGGAAUAACUCCCCGAAAGGGGUGCUAAUACCGGAUAAUGUCUUCGGACCAAAGAUGGAUUGCCUUUGGAUGGGCCCGAGUGGGGUUAGCAAGUUGGUAGGGUAAAAGCGUAUCAAGGCGACGAUCCAUAGCUGGUCUGAGAGGAUGAGCCGCCACACUGGGGCUGAGACACGGCCCAGACUCUUACGGGAGGCGGGAGAGGGGAAUGGAGGAAAACGGCGGGUAUGAUGAAGCAGUACUGCCUGGAGAGUAAUGUAGGCCGUAGGGAAGGAAAGAUCUUUUACCCCUGAGCAUAAUGACAGUACCCGGAGAAGAAGCACCGGCUAACUCCGUG